AAAACCGAGAGAAGGGAGGAUAGAAGCCACAACCUCAUUACAGCUACACGUCCCAUAUUGUUGAAGGUGGUAUCUCGCAAGUGAAUCAUGAUCGCAAGGGAAAGAAAAUAAUUUCGGAUUAAGCACUCGAGGUUGAGCGGCGACGAGCAAUUGGUGGUGUUGGGCAAUUUAAACUUUGAAGCAUGGUUUGGUUAGUUGUGAACUACGAGUGUCGUUGUGUCUCCACACAUGACGUCACUCUUUCUCUUGAACGCUUCCGCUGAGACAUUGUUUUUACUCAUAAAUCUUUUAGCUUUGAACCUAAUUAUUUG